UACAGAGGGUGCAAGCGUUGUUCGGAAUUAUUGGGCGUAAAGGGCGCGUAGGCGGUGCGGUAAGUCUGUAUUGAAAUCUCUGGGCUCAACUCAGAGUCUGCUGCAGAAACUGCCGUGCUUGAGUGUGGGAGAGGUGAGUGGAAUUCCCGGUGUAGCGGUGAAAUGCGUAGAUAUCAAGUGGAACACCAGUGGCGAAGGCGAGUCUCUGGACAUUUCCUGACGCUGAGGCACGAAAGCCAGGGGAGCAAACGGG
rnacentral:rRNA from 1 species